UCAAGCUUAGAUCUCUAAGAUAUUGGGUAUUCUAGGGAUUUUGACAAGGAGUAUUUGGGCAAGCUAAAUAGCUAAGGUUUGGAUGUUUUAAAGUAGUUAAGGACAUGUGAAUAGCACGAGCACAAGUGGUGGGUUCUUGAAGUUGACUCUUGAAACUAGGAGACUUAGUCCUAGUAUUGGACCUUAUCACGGACUUUUGUUUAUUUGGAUAUUCUCUUUGACCCUUUGUAUUUUUUGUAAACCAUUGUGCUUGGUUUCGGUGCUUGUGAUGCAUUUUGGACAUACUACUCUUGAUUGUAAAUAUUUAAUAGUGGAUUUGAUGAGUUUUUG